rnacentral:misc_RNA from 1 species
CAGAGCAAGCACAAAAGGGUCAAGGCGCAGGCGUGGUGCAGAAGACGGCGCUCACCGACGUGCACGCACACGCAUAGGCCUUUUUCGGGCGCUCGCCCGUCCUCUGUCGAGGCCGGAAGUCGCGUGCCUGUCACUUCUCUUGUAUCCGAGCCCACACACUGUGGGCAACACGCACGCACUGCCCUCCCCGCCCCCCCCCCUCGCGCCCGAUCCGAGCGCGUGCUUCCGUCGAUGCCGCAGCAGCUGCCCACCCUUCUGCAGGAGCAGCAGGCACAGUCGCCGCCGCUGCACGUGGCGUCCGUAAUGUCCUCCAUGGCUGGCAGGGACAGCACCGUAUCGUUCAGGAAAGAAAGCCGCGCAAGCGUCUCUGCCGCGUCUAUUGCGUCGGCACGGCGUGCUCUCCUUCCACCACGCGCGGGGAUUUCCGCCGUGGUGCCCUCGCCAAAGCAGCGGCCGCAGCAUGGAGGCAACGGCGCGGCCGCAGGGCCGAGUAAGGAGGCGGCCCCGGUAAGCAGGGUAUUGGUGCCGGUUGUCAAGGCCGUCGCCGCUGCGACGGCCAUCUCAUCCAUCCCACUCAGUACACCGCUCACUCGCAACAGCGUCCCUGCGACAGCGUCAGCGCCAUCGUCGCAUCUCGAGUACGUCGGCCUUGGCCCCUCACUGGCCAGAGACUCGUACCUGCCUCAUGUGCAGGGCUCCCAUGCACACGACAGCGCAAGUACCGGGGCCGACGUGCUGGCCCUGCAAGCCGCUACCACCGGUCUCUUUGCGCGGCACAUCCGCCUCAACAGCCUGCCUGAUGCAGCGCAGGACGACGCCGAUGGCGAUGAUGCCGGCACCGCCGUGCCGCGCGGUGGUGACAACAGCGACGCAGCCUCCCCCAUCGCCUCCCCAACGCUGGUGGGCACGGCCCCUGUCAAAUCCGCCGCGCUGCUCGAAACGGGCGUCGAUGACCGCAUCAAUCCAUUCCUGCUCAAUCAGCUCAUCCAGCGAAGCCACCGUCGAGCACGCUCCACGGCCGCCGCCGCCGGAAAGCGCGGUGCCCAUCGGAUAGGACAGCUUCAGGACUGGAUCAGGAAGCCCACAUUCCUCAAAACCAUGGUUGCUAGUCCGCGGCUGGGCGGUGACGCGACUGGCAUCGCGGUGGACAGUGCCGCCGCUGAGCUGCGCUAUCAUGAGCUGCCCGCGAUACAGGAGGCCUCCGAGGCGUGCUACACCGCGGCCCCCGGCAACGGCGGUACCGGCGGUGGCACCACUUCGACAGCGGCGACGCAGCCCGACACGGGCGCACUGGCAGCCGCAGGGACGAAGCAGAUGUUCAACCUCAUUGCCGAGUACAACGACGACCUCGAUGCGGAGGAAACGCCGCAAGCUGUCGCCCCUGGGAUGUCCUCCACCGAGCACGUCCACAUUGCUGCUGCAGUGAGCGCCAACGACGGUGCCCUUGUGCGGCAACUUGUGGGGUACUACUGCGCACGCGCUGAGGCCGUCUCCCCGACGCGCACGUCAACGCGCGCAGCAGUUGUGGAAGCCCCAACGCGAGCGAGUAUGCGGAGUUACACAACGCUCAAGGGCAAGAACGCGAAAACCGCUUCCGGCGCGACCGGUGGCGGCGCAGACGAGGGCGGUGCGGCGUCAUCCCCUUUCCCGUUCACGUCCGCCGCACCGAACUUCUCGCUGCUCGACGCGGUGAUGUGCGUAAGUCGCGAGUUUGUGGCGCAGCGCUCGGCGGCCGGGGUGCCCGGCCAAAGUACCAGCGCGCUCAGCGAGCGACGCCGGUGCCUCCUGGAACGCUUGACAAGCCUGGACCAGACGCGCAUCCCAGAGACAUGGUGGGUCACGAGCCUGCAGUACCUCGGCCGCCUCGCCACCACGACAGGGACUGGAUCCAGCACAGCCACAUCGGCUGUCACGGCGGCGGAGAAGACCCAACGCGCGUCAUCGGCGACGGCGUCGAUGUUUGCGACGCCGGUGACGGAAAAUCGCCCCAGCGCACCACCGAUGAGCCGCUCGAAUCGUACGGGGCGCAGCGGCGGGAUAGCGUCGCCGCCGCCAGUGGAAGGUGACGCGCUCGCGCGGCCGGACGAGUCCGGCAGCGAGGCGGGCACAGGUCUUAGGAAUGGGCUGAAAAAGGCCGCUGUGAUGCAGGCUGGUCCGGUGAGCAGCGGAACCCUCUGCGGCAGCGAAGGUCAGCUCGUGUUGGGCGCCGUCUCGUCCCACAACACCAUCUUCCCUGCUCCCCGUCCGGUGGAACGGUCACAGGUGUACCUCCUGGCGGAGGUGCUGGACCGCAUGCUGCGCGACCCGUCCCACCCGCAGUGGCUGGCGCUGCUUGCCGAUCCGCAGGUGGCGCGCUACGUACUCGGCGACGGCGACGAUAUAGAAGGCGACGACGGUCAACGACGCGGCAGCGGCCACGACACCCUUGACGCCGAUCUCUGGGGCACGCCUGGAGAGCAACGGCUCUUUGCCUACACGGACGCGGCCACACAUGUACUGGAAAUUCUUGACACCGGUCUUGCUGAGCUGGUGCGGCAAGUGGCGAGCUACUGUUUGGAGCGCGGCGCCUUGCUCGAUCUGCUCCGCCAGUCCACCAUGGACAUCGCCAGCGCACAUGUGCACAUCCUCCGUCAGGUGAAGCAGCAGGCACACGCGGACGCGCUGGAGGCGCAGACACUGCGAAAGGAGAAGGCGCAGCUUCAGCAAGAACUCGAGGCGGUGCAGAAGGCGCUCGUGGAGCUGCAGAACACCCACGCCGAGCUCUGCACCCGCGUCGAGCCGCUCCAGCGCAAGAGCGACCGACUCGACGAACUCAUGGCGCGCGUUGCUGCCAAGGCGCGCCGUUUCGAAACCUUCCGCCACGAUGAAAACGCCGCGCUGCUGCAGGUGCUGAAGGAGUCCAUAACGCAGUCCGCCGGUGCCGCGCUAGACAAUUUCUUCAAGGAAAUGCACGACUUGCAGGCACGUCACAGCGGCCUUGAGGAAGCGGCCACGACGCAGUUGAACGGCGUCACCGGUGACGCGGCGGGGCACAGCAACGGUGACGGUGCGGCGUCGCCCAAGGCUGCCGCGGCCGUCGAGAUGCCGUCCGUCGCGGCCGCGCGUAGCCAAGCCCUUGAGCAGCAGCAGAUGAUGGAGCAGCUCUACACGGAGUCGCACCGGCUGCUGUGCGGACUGCAGGACAUGGUGAACGCGACAAACACGCUGUGCGGGCGACUCUAUGACAAGAUGAUCCUGGCGGACGUGUCACCCGCGGCCAAGGUCGCCACGUCUCGCUGGGCCUCCGUCGCGCGGGCCGUCGGCGCCUUCGAGAGGGAUAAGCGCCACCGCCAGCGUGUGUGCGAGGUGUUUAUGGAGUACUGCACCUCGUACCGUCAUAAGCGCAGUGCCCACGCGGACCUUGAGACGGGGCGAGAGGGCAGCGCGGCGUCAAGCAGCGUGAGCCGCGGUGGCCGGCACACCCACAGCUACGGCGAGGCGUUUCUCGUGAACGACAAUAAAGAAACGCGAUGCUCCGACAGCGUCGAAGGCAGCGAAGAUCCACUGCUGGCGCACAGCAGGCCCUCUGCGCUCCUGUCGUUCACAGAGGAGGCGACUCCAGACGAGGGGCCGCGGCGGCGCAACAACAGCACCACGGAGGGCAAGGAAGGCGUCGACAUCGACCAUGCCGUCUUCGCCGCCGGCGGCGUGCGGGAGAAGCUGCAGCAUGAGGUGGUCAUGACAGGUGCCAUCAUCACCCGCGAAGAUUUAGAAGCGAUGAAGGCGACAGAUUGCACGGUGGACGAAGUAAACGCCCUCUUUCGCAAGGACUUCGACAUGCACAAGUAUCUGCGCGGAUCAUGGCAGCAGUACGUGCUGGAGCGUCAGCAACAGGAGCAGCAGAGCGUCGUGGCGGUGGCCACUACGACAAGCGGCCCUGGCGGGAAGCAGACCACCGUGGAGAGCACGUACAUGCUGCGCUUGCCGGACGUGCUACAGAUGCUAAGUGACGUGCAAGCGACGCUGGCCGAGGUGACGGUGCGCAUGAACGCCACGGCGAAGAGCGCCGUGUUGGAGGCUGGUCUGCAGCCGCCUCUUGAGCCCCCGUCGCACCCAGAGCAGCCCUGUCCGCUGUGCAACCGCCGCGAUACGUGUGAGCUGGAGCGGCAUCGGCGGCGUGAGGCAAUGUCCCGAAUUGCUCGUGACUUGCAACGGAAAAUGGAGGCAGUGGAAGCGAAAAGCCGUGCAGCGUUUACAGAGCGUGACGAGGCGCUGGGAGAGGUACGGCGGCUCAAAAUGGAGCUGCAACACUCAGCCACGGUCACGCCUGCUCGUGGGCCGGCUGUGAUCGGAGUACAACAGCAGCAAGAGAUGCAGCCUGAAUCUCUUCAAGGACACCGUCAGCAGCGGCACACGUCUUCGCAAUGGCAAGCAGCGGCGGACAGCACCGUCACGGUUCCGUCCAUCCACCAUGUGCCUGCGUGGAGCCUCGGCAACGAGACCAGCAGCCCGAGUAGCAGCAGCAGCAGCGCUAUGACCGGGGUCACGGGACGCUCAGAGAACUCGGCAGACAUGUCGACGGUGAUCCUCAGUCAGGCUGACAAGUGCACGGUCCCGCCCAUCGUUAGUGGUGCGGGCGUGGGGGCGUCGGGGUCUGCGCGGCAGAGUCACAUUAGCUUCUUCGGAGACGCGCGUGUCGGCGACAGCUUCACCACCGUGAGCUACGAAGAGAGCGACCAAGUCGGCCACCCCUCCAUCCCUUCAAAACGCCGCUCCACUGCCGAGAUGCCCAAAAAUACCACCGGUGACACACCGCAGUAGAGAGUCCCGGCGAUUCGAAAUCGAACGGGAAAGAAGCUCAGAGAGGAAAGGAAGGGAGGGCAACGUCGCUGUCAUGUCGGUGUGCAUGUGUGUGUGUGUGCGCGCGUCGAUCUGCAAACUACACGCGUGUUCGAUUGUCCUUCGUAGGCUACGCGCACCCCCACCCCCUCCACGCGCACGCCAUGAUCAUCUAUUAUGACGGCUCUGUAUGCUCUCGCGCGUCACCGGCGCCUCCGGCUGUCUUCCUCUCCUUUUAUGUGUUGACCUGUUUUAGUUCUUGUGCGCGCGUGCGUGCGUGUCCCUCUGUUCUCUUCUUCUUGUGUAUCUUCUCCGGUCUCUUGAUGGCCCCCUUCCCUCCCUCCCUUGGAACUCCUUCUGUGCCCCCACGACCAUCACCGCCACCCCUGCCUCUACCUCUCUGUUGCUUUACGCUUGCACCGCAUAUGUUGCAUGUCUUGCUCACGCUCCCUCAUCUUGUUGAAUGUACAGGUCGGCUCAGCCACUCUGCCGCCGCUUUUCGAGUACUUUUUCUCACUUGCUGUUCUUUUCUGUCCCCAUGUGCUCGUCGUGCGGCUGGCGGUAUACCUCCUCUCACCUCCACCCCUCCCCCUCCACCCUCCCGCAAACCAUGAGCCGCAACAGCGGGUCGUAGCGGGUAGUGCUGGCGCUCGCCGACAGCAACGCAGGAAACCAUCCACGACUGCUGCGGGGUCGGCAUCAUUCUUGGCACGUGUGCACAGGAUGGUGCAGGGAGGACGGUGGGCGGUGAGUCACGCGCUGCAUGGCGGUUGAUGUACGAAACGAACG